rnacentral:rRNA from 1 species
CACGUAGGGCGCGAGCGUUGUCCGGAAUUAUUGGGCGUAAAGGGUGCGUAGGCGGUUUGGUAAGUCUGAUGUGAAAUCUAUGGGCUCAACUCAUAGUCUGCAUCGGAAACUGCCGGGCUUGAGUAUGGGAGAGGUGAGUGGAAUUCCUGGUGUAGCGGUGAAAUGCGUAGAUAUCAGGAGGAACACCUGUGGCGAAAGCGGCUCACUGGACCAUAACUGACGCUGAUGCACGAAAGCUAGGGGAGCAAACAGG